GUCCACGCUGUAAACGAUGUGUGCUAGACGUUGGGGAGCCUAGCUCUUCGGUGUCGCAGCUAACGCGGUAAGCACACCGCCUGGGGAGUACGGCCGCAAGGUUAAAACUCAAAGGAAUUGACGGGGGCCCGCACAAGCGGUGGAGCAUGUGGUUCAAUUCGACGCAACGCGAAGAACCUUACCAGCCCUUGACAUGUCCCGUAUGGGCCGGAGAGAUCCGGUCCUUCAGUUCGGCUGGCGGGAAUACAGGUGCUGCAUGGCUGUCGU
rnacentral:rRNA from 1 species